AUCACGUUAGUAUAAGCAGUACACCUGCCUUCCAAGCAGAAAGUCUGGGGACAGACGGGAUU
rnacentral:tRNA from 1 species